CCUACGGGUGGCAGCAGUGAGGAAUAUUGGUCAAUGGACGUAAGUCUGAACCAGCCAAGCCGCGUGCGGGAAGACGGCUCUAUGAAUUGUAAACCGCUUUUGUACGAGAGUAAACGCUGAGACGCGUAUUUGUCUGAAAGUAUCGUACGAAUAAGGAUCGGCUAACUCCGUGCCAGCAGCCGCGGUAAUACGGAGGAUUCGAGCGUUAUCCGGAUUUAUUGGGUUUAAAGGGUGCGUAGGCGGUCGGAUAAGUUAGAGGUGAAAUCCCGAGGCUCAACCUCGGAAUUGCCUCUGAAACUGUUCGGCUAGAGAGUAGUUGCGGUAGGCGGAAUGUAUGGUGUAGCGGUGAAAUGCUUAGAGAUCAUACAGAACACCGAUUGCGAAGGCAGCUUACCAAGCUACUUCUGACGUUGAGGCACGAAAGCGUGGGGAGCAAACAGGAUUAGAUACCCCUGUAGUC
rnacentral:rRNA from 1 species